ACGAACGCUGGCGGCACGCUUAACACAUGCAAGUCGAACGAGAGAAGAGAAGCUUGCUUUUCUGAUCUAGUGGCGGACGGGUGAGUAACACGUGAGCAAUCUGCCUUUCAGAGGGGGAUACCGAUUGGAAACGAUCGUUAAUACCGCAUAAUAUAAUUGAACCGCAUGAUUUGAUUAUCAAAGAUUUAUCGCUGAAAGAUGAGCUCGCGUCUGAUUAGCUAGUUGGUAAGGUAACGGCUUACCAAGGCGACGAUCAGUAGCCGGACUGAGAGGUUGAUCGGCCACAUUGGGACUGAGACACGGCCCAGACUCCUACGGGAGGCAGCAGUGGGGAAUAUUGCACAAUGGAGGAAACUCUGAUGCAGCGAUGCCGCGUGAGGGAAGAAGGUUUUAGGAUUGUAAACCUCUGUCUUCAGGGACGAAAAAAGACGGUACCUGAGGAGGAAGCUCCGGCUAACUACGUGCCAGCAGCCGCGGUAAUACGUAGGGAGCGAGCGUUGUCCGGAAUUACUGGGUGUAAAGGGAGCGUAGGCGGGAUCGCAAGUCAGAUGUGAAAACUAUGGGCUUAACCCAUAAACUGCAUUUGAAACUGUGGUUCUUGAGUGAAGUAGAGGUAAGCGGAAUUCCUAGUGUAGCGGUGAAAUGCGUAGAUAUUAGGAGGAACAUCAGUGGCGAAGGCGGCUUACUGGGCUUUAACUGACGCUGAGGCUCGAAAGCGUGGGGAGCAAACAGGAUUAGAUACCCUGGUAGUCCACGCCGUAAACGAUGAUUACUAGGUGUUGGGGGAUUGACCCCCUCAGUGCCGCAGUUAACACAAUAAGUAAUCCACCUGGGGAGUACGACCGCAAGGUUGAAACUCAAAGGAAUUGACGGGGGCCCGCACAAGCAGUGGAGUAUGUGGAUUAAUUCGAAGCAACGCGAAGAACCUUACCAGGUCUUGACAUCGUAUGCAUAGCUCAGAGAUGAGUGAAAUCUCUUCGGAGACAUAUAGACAGGUGGUGCAUGGUUGUCGUCAGCUCGUGUCGUGAGAUGUUGGGUUAAGUCCCGCAACGAGCGCAACCCUUACUGUUAGUUGCUACGCAAGAGCACUCUAGCAGGACUGCCGUUGACAAAACGGAGGAAGGUGGGGAUGACGUCAAAUCAUCAUGCCCCUUAUGACCUGGGCCUCACACGUACUACAAUGGCUGUAAACAGAGGGAUGCAAAGCCGCGAGGUGGAGCGAACCCCUAAAAGCAGUCUUAGUUCGGAUUGUAGGCUGCAACCCGCCUACAUGAAGUCGGAAUUGCUAGUAAUCGCAGAUCAGCAUGCUGCGGUGAAUACGUUCCCGGGCCUUGUACACACCGCCCGUCACGCCAUGGGAGUCGGUAACACCCGAAGCCUGUAGUCUAACCGCAAGGAGGACGCAGUCGAAGGUGGGAUUGAUGACUGGGGUG
rnacentral:rRNA from 1 species